CUCCUAGAUCGUCGCGACGGUUCCCCUCGGGGAUCAAAAGGGAAUGCGGUGCGGACGGCUCCAAUCGGGGCGGUUCAAUGCCGCGGCUGUUCCCGCAACUGUAAGCGGCGAGUCUUGCGUCCGAUGCCACUGGGAAUCUCGGUCCUGGGAAGGCGACGCCAGAAACAACGACCCGCGAGCCAGGAGACCUGCCGUCAAUCGUGGUCACAC
rnacentral:ncRNA from 1 species